GAACGCCGGCGGCAGGCCUAACACAUGCAAGUCGAGCGGUAACACAGGGAGCUUGCUCCUGGGUGACGAGCGGCGGACGGGUGAGUAAUGUCUGGGAAACUGCCUGAUGGAGGGGGAUAACUACUGGAAACGGUAGCUAAUACCGCAUAACGUCGCAAGACCAAAGAGGGGGACCUUCGGGCCUCUUGCCAUCAGAUGUGCCCAGAUGGGAUUAGCUAGUAGGUGGGGUAAUGGCUCACCUAGGCGACGAUCCCUAGCUGGUCUGAGAGGAUGACCAGCCACACUGGAACUGAGACACGGUCCAGACUCCUACGGGAGGCAGCAGUGGGGAAUAUUGCACAAUGGGCGCAAGCCUGAUGCAGCCAUGCCGCGUGUAUGAAGAAGGCCUUCGGGUUGUAAAGUACUUUCAGCGAGGAGGAAGGCAUUAAGGUUAAUAACCUUGGUGAUUGACGUUACUCGCAGAAGAAGCACCGGCUAACUCCGUGCCAGCAGCCGCGGUAAUACGGAGGGUGCAAGCGUUAAUCGGAAUUACUGGGCGUAAAGCGCACGCAGGCGGUCUGUCAAGUCGGAUGUGAAAUCCCCGGGCUCAACCUGGGAACUGCAUUCGAAACUGGCAGGCUAGA
rnacentral:rRNA from 1 species